GGGGGUGUUUCGGCUUCGACGGGGAUCACGAAAUCACUUGGUGCAUGCCGAGGGGGUAGCUUUCCUCGUAAAUCCAGCUGCUAACUUUUAGUUGCCAACAACGACAACUACGCUCUGGCCGCUUAAGGUCUAAGCCCCGAAACCGCUGGGUUCCUGUGCCUGCGGAGGUAGGGUCAUUAACACAGGACCGCCACGGUAGCUGCCUGUCAGCCGUGGUCAAAUUAAACAGGCUGGUUCUGUGGUGUGCUCUGCCCUUCGUGUUACCACAGAAUGAGAUCAAACGAUGGGACAAGCAUGUAGGACCAGGGACGUAGGAUCUUCGGACGCGGGUUCGACUCCCGCCACCUCCACCA
rnacentral:tmRNA from 1 species